rnacentral:rRNA from 1 species
UACGAAGGGGGCUAGCGUUGUUCGGAAUUACUGGGCGUAAAGCGCACGUAGGCGGACUAUUAAGUCAGGGGUGAAAUCCCGGGGCUCAACCCCGGAACUGCCUUUGAUACUGGUAGUCUCGAGUCCGGAAGAGGUGAGUGGAAUUCCGAGUGUAGAGGUGAAAUUCGUAGAUAUUCGGAGGAACACCAGUGGCGAAGGCGGCGCACUGGGCAGGUACUGACGCUGAGGAGCGAAAGCGUGGGGAGCAAACAGG